rnacentral:rRNA from 1 species
GGGUGCGAUCAUAUCAAUGUUAAUGCAUCGCAUCCCAUAAGAACUCUGUAGUUAAGCAUGCUUGGGCUAGAGUGGUACUGGGAUGGGUGACUUCCUGGUAAGUCCUAGUGUUGCACCCU